rnacentral:lncRNA from 1 species
CUCCAAGGGAUGUGCCACAGAGAUGGUAAAGCCCAGAUACAUGGAGAAAUCCCACUGAUUGGAUGUCUGAAACCAGGUGCAGACAGAAGUUUUCUGGGACACUGAGGGAUAUAUCAAGGGCGCCUACUAUGGAAAUGAGGAAACGGUGGAUUUUCAUCAAGAGAAGCAGACAGGCUACCAGAGUAGUAGAUGUACAGCUGAGCAGAAUGACCAUCUGCAGAAGUCUCAGAGAGCAUCUGGAGAAUGAUGACAAAUAUAAAAUCCUACCCAUGACUCACGACUCCAUUUCAGCCCACAGUCAUGAGUCCCUGGCCACUAAGCCUGUGAAACCUAGAGUGAAGGAACCUUUCAAGUGGCUGGGUGAUUGGAAUAAUAAGAGCUACAGUAUAAUCUAACUGGACUUUGGGAUAUUAAAA